rnacentral:lncRNA from 1 species
AAUCAUUGAGCGCGGAGAACAAGUGGUUUUCCUCUUGGGUGGAUCUCAAAAGGCGGAUAAAGAUCGUGAAAUGGCCAGCCUUCUCAAGGAUUUUGGUGACGUUGGUGAUGCCGUGUGGUGCAGCAGCCUGUGUUGGGGUUGCGACUGGAGGUUGUGCUACGACUACUGCUGGUGCCUGUGCUGGGGCUGCUGUUGGUGACUGGGCAAAGGUAUUGAUAUAACACAGGGAAAGAAGAAGCAUUGAAAAUGAGAAGAUUGAGUACUGUUGCUUCAUCUUUAAGUUUCCACGGUAUAAUGCUAGAGAUAAUUAAAAAAUGCUAACGCAAAUUGAGUUCGAUCUUAGUUGGAAGUGUUUGAUGUCUGAAGAAGAGACAGAGUGAGCUUUUAUAGAAGUGGACAGAGGAUCAAACUAGGUGCAAUGUACGAGUUUAGUUAUACAACUUGGUUGCUAGUACCUAUUUUGCUCUGAAAGGUGGAGGGUCAUCAAUGGAUGGGUUUUUUAACAAUGCUGCAGCAACUACUUGGCUUGGAAAAGAAGGAAAAAAUUUCUAAAAAGCAGAUUUCCAGUGGUGUGACAGUAAAUAAAGAUGUCCAUGAUUGUCGAAAUUAUAUUUUAGAAUCAUCACUGUCAGAACAUUUGAGGAUACUUCUUAACUUAAAAAAAAAAAUCUUCUGUCAUGGCAGAAGAUUUGGACAAGCAAUCUUAACGGAACCAUCUUUCUAUAUCUAAAACAGCUAUGGCUCCUUCAGCAUAAUAGAAUGAAUCUUUACUUCCCUGAAUCCAUGACAGACAUCGAUAGACUAACUUUCCAAAUUUACACAGAAAUCAAAUCUCACCUAGACCAUCACUUAAAACAACACAAUCAAGCAACACCUACCUUAUGUACUUGAUUUGAUGUUCGUGGCAAGCCUUCUUUCAAGGUUUAUGCAAUCUCCAGGGGAGAUGCAUUUUAGGGCAGCAAAUAUGUCCUAAUACAUGUUAGGGGAACACUGAUUUUAGAGUAUGGUUUGAAGCUACUGCAGAUGCAGAAUUGACAGCCUACACAGAUGGUGAUUGGCUCGUUCAUUUGAUGAUAUGUAGAGCACAACAUGUUAUGAGUUCAAUUUCGGUUCAGGUGCAUUUUAUUGGAUGACCAACAAGCAAAAACAAUGGCACAAACCACUGCAGAAGCAGAGUACAUAGCUGCAGCAGCUACAGUGUGAAGCAACGACAAUUGAAAUUGAUAACAACUCAGCCAUUGCAAUUGUGAAAAAUCAUGCAAGUCAUGUCAAAACCAAGCAUAUCUAAGUGAAGUUCCAUUUAGUUCAUGAUGUAUAAAAAGCUAAUGAGGCGACCUUAAUCUACUGUGAAGCAGAAAAUCAACUUGAAGAUAUAUUCGUUAAAACUCUUUCUCAAGCCAGAUUUGAAUUUGUCAGGAACAAGCUUGGAUUAUCAAGAAGUCGUCUCAAGGAGGAAUGUCAUACCAAUUUUGAUACUUUUUCUACAUACUUAGUGCAUGUUCUGUAGCAAUCUACUGAUAUUUUGUAAAAAGUAUUGCUGAAGUAAACCUGCUGAAAAUCAUGUGAGGGCAGGUCCCAGUAGUCAAGGGGUGGUGUUGUGAUCCUUGGAUGGCAUUAGGUGGAGUUUUUCUUGAAAGAAAGUUAUAGUAAUCAAAUACUUCUGCGCAUAUAUAAAUGAUAAUGUCAGAUGUGGUAGUACGAAAAAACAAACCGGUUUACAAAAUCAGCAAAGCACUAUCAGUCUUGCUAUCUAUAAUUUCUCUGCUGCAAACAUUCUUGUUGGUCACAAAACCAGCAGUUAUGAAAUUGGAGAGAACCUGAACCUGAUGUUGGCUUAAACUGGAGAAAGAUUCAUUAAGAUAAAACUUUAAAGGCUCCAUUGUAAGCGCAAUGUGCAGGUUAUUUCACAUACAGAUUGGCAAAACUUCAAGUAAAUUAGCUGUACCAUGCAGAUCCAACUUCGAGCACUCAUUUUGUAACUCAAAAUCCUUGAGAUUGCUGAGAGAACUUCCAAAAAUAAACACCACUCAAUGCAAGCAUCUGCGUAUAAUAACAAACUUUCAUGAAAAGCUGUCAUCAAGAACAAUAUAAGUAUUAUCCUACAUUUGCACAAGCAACCAUCUGCAUAUAAUAAGACAAUAGCUCACUAGUUAUACAAAAUUCACAAUGAAAUAUCUGUUUUCACCGUUGUCCUACAAAAUGAAUGAAUUAAUGUGUAGCACUAGCUUAUCUCUAGCUUCAAAACAUCAAUACUUCAAGAAGAAGGAACGAAAAGAAAAGGAUUAUCUUAAUCCUGCAGGGCAGAGCAGUAAGGUGCUUCGCAUGAGCAAGUAACCCAAAACACUAAUCUCCAAUGCUUAAUAUGCUCUUUUCUGUCCAAUAAUGAAUACUUGUUUCAAUCAAACCUGAUAAAUCCUUGAAAUACUACCUACCUAGUACCUACCUUCAAUUGAAUCAUCUCCAACAGCCCACGAUUUGGACAAGUAACCUCAACCUCAAGUGAUGCAUUCUUUUUAGUGAAGGAACUAAGCUUUAGCUCCUGAAACUUUACAGAACAGAACUUUACAUUCUUCAUUCCUUACAACCUUCAACAGAUAAUCUUUUCAAAUAUACAAACACAGAAAUCAAAUCACCCACAAAUUUGAAGAAAACAUCAUUCAAGAAACACUGACCUCAGGGACCUAAGCCCCAAAGAGGCAAUUGGUUUAUCUAACCAAAAGCUAGGAAAUAAGUAGACGACACCAGGGUUACAGUGAGGAAAAAAAAUGAAAUUUGACAGAUCAAGUAUAUAUAUUGCAACUUGAACAAGAAAUUAAAUGAAACCUCAAAAUUCCAUCUUAACCACAAGCUCAAAUCAUACAAACUGGAUUCAAAGUAAAAUCUGAAUUAUUCAAAUUUCAACAGGAAUCCAAAGUCAACAAAAUCAUGAAACAAAACCGGAACCAAGCCCAACAUAUCUCCUCUCAAGUUUCAAAACCCUUCUACAUGACAAGCAAACAUUGCAGCAGCAACUAUAACGAGUGAUCCAACAACCACAUUAUUAUGCAUAAACGUAACUGCGCUAGAUAUAUCCACAGGAGCAACAGGACUCUCUACAUUAGCAGCAGGAACCGCCUUAGUAGGUUUUUCUCGUGCAGGUGCCUGUACUGGUGCUGGAGCUGGAGCAUUGGAUCCAAAAAUGUCCUUAGGAAGUAGCACCUUCUCGAUCUUAUAAAUGGCUAGCUGGUUGUCCGUGUAAACCGUGCCAGAUAAACUUGUAUUGGUAAGUCCUGUGGUUAUGUUCACCGAGUUUGGAUAACUUGUGACAUUAAGUGGUAACCUACUACCUGUUCCAGCCCAUGUUCCAAGAGGAUUACUUACAGUCUGAAACUGGGAAGUGGAUAGGAACGUUGGAACUACGUGGAACUUCACCAACUCAGACUUGUCGCCAUCACUUAGAGUAUUGAGAGUUCCUGAUUUGAGUUCCGAAAAUGCACUAUCUGUGGGUGCAAAGAUGGUUAAACCAGUGUUGGAAUCAUUGAGCGCGGAGAACAAGUGGUUUUCCUCUUGGGUGGAUCUCAAAAGGCGGAUAAAGAUCGUGAAGUGGCCAGCCUUCUCAAGUAUUUUGGUGACGUUGGUGAUGCCGUGUGGUGCAGCAGCCUGUGUUGGGGUUGCGACUGGAGGUUGUGCUACGACUACUGCUGGUGCCUGUGCUGGGGCUGCUGUUGGUGACUGGGCAAAGGUAUUGAUAUAACAAAGGGAAAGAAGGAGCAUUGAAAAUGAGAAGAUUGAGUGCUGUUGCUUCAUCCUUAUUUUUUUGGGAUAAAAUGCUCGAAACAAUUCAAAUAUACUAAUGCAAAUUGAUCUCAAUCAU